rnacentral:ncRNA from 1 species
UUAGAUACGAUGAUAAAGAGGAGUACCUGCAACGCAGCUCUCUAGAGAGGAAGGAUAAGGUGUGAGCUUUCCGGGUGUGCAGCAGGAAAGGUAGCUUUGGAGUUUUCCGGCUGAACUGACAGUAGGCCGGAACGCAGAAACAGCGUUAUGUAAAUGAGCUUAAAAUCCUUUGGGAUUUUAAGGAAUUUAGGUGGUACCACGAAAGCAGGCACUUUCGUCCUUUGU